CAACUUUCAGCAACGGAUCUCUUGGCUCUCGCAUCGAUGAAGAACGCAGCGAAAUGCGAUAAGUAAUGUGAAUUGCAGAAUUCAGUGAAUCAUCGAAUCUUUGAACGCACCUUGCGCUCUUUGGUAUUCCGAAGAGCAUGCCUGUUUGAGUGUCAUUA
rnacentral:rRNA from 5 species